CUACGGACUUAAUUGGAUUGAGAGUUGGUAUGGAAACUUACUAAGUGAUCACUUUCAUAUUCAGAGAAACCCUGGAAUGAACAAAAAUGGGCAAUCCUAAGCCAAAUCCUAUUUUCUAAAAACAAAUAAAGGUUCAGAUAAAAAGGAUAGGUGUCGAGACUCAAGUGAAGGUAUUCUAACAAAUGGGGUUAAAUGUGUUGGUAGAGGAGUAUUUACAUCAAAACUUUAGAAAGAAAAAGACUAAAGUGAAGGAUAAACGUAUAUACAUAUUUAUUGAAUACUAUAUCAAAUGAUUAAUGAUGACCCGAAUACCUAUUUUUUCUAUAAAAAUAGAAGAAUUGGUGUGAAUUGAUUCUACAUUGAAGAAAGAAUCGAAUAUUCAUUGAUCAAAUAAUUCACUCCAUAGUCUGAUAGAUCUUUUGAAGAACUGAUUAAUCAGACAAGAAUAAAGAUAGAGUCCCAUUCUACAUGUCAAUACCGA
rnacentral:ncRNA from 1 species